rnacentral:lncRNA from 1 species
CACCCUUAAGACCCUUUCUAUCCCUUGAUCUUCCCAAGAAGGACACUAGAAGCCUGAUUAGAAUAUGAUAGUGACAGUGAUUAGAGAGCAAGGAGAAAGAGAAGCUGAGGUUGAGCCAUUUGGCUCAGCUGAAGAAGGAAAAGACAACCUGUAGGGUUUCCUUUUUCCACAAAUCUAUCCCCCCCUUUUAUUACUUGAACUAUUAAACAACUGUGUUUGAAAAAACUAGCAGUCAGAUUCAAAUGAUAGCAUUUUAAAAGAAAGGAGAGUGUGGUGGGCUAGGUAGCCAUUCAAAGCCAACAGGAUUCAAAGCUUGCCAGACAGGUGAGACCUCUUAAGGUUAGAAAUGCCAGCCAUGGGAGAAAUAGGAAGAGAAUAUUCAAAGGCGUUCCUAAGAACAAAGGGAAUUAAAAAGUCAACAGACUGAUUGGAGCCCCUCUAAUCCAGGUCCCUGACAUGAGAUUAAUACAGUUUAUAAAAAAUAAGCAAUCUUCCAUAUGAUUCCUUGGGAGAUUGAGUCACCAUAUCUGGAAAUUUCAGAACAAAUUCACCAGGAUACAUAAGAAUCUGAAGAGGCUGGCACUAGAGAAAAAGUGCCAGGCUGAAGAGUAUGUGAAAUUGAUCACCUCAAUGGGGGAGGGGCCCCAGGAGUGGAAUCCUGAGGAGGAGAAGACUCGGGCUGGGAGAGCAGUGAGGGUCUCUCGGUCUUGAGAAGCCAAAGAGAGAAGUUGGGGAAAAGACUUUCUCCUGAGGGUUACCCAUUUUUCCUGCUGGUGACUGGAAAUCCUUCCCCCCAACAUUUCCCAAUUGAAGGGACUUUCUGAAUAGAAACCUGAGCAGACUUUACCUUAGCUCUUGAUGCCCAGGAGUGAGUCAACCUGACUUCUUCUCAGGGGGCUCAGGCUGCCAAGGCCUGAAUUCCCCUCAAACUCGAGGAGGGAGGAGAAAGGGUUUAGACAGAGACAGGGACCCCCUUUUCCCACAUUCCUUUUCCCAUUCUUCCCUGCCCAUUAUUUCCUUUUGUAUUACCUGAUUGAGUUGACAUUAAAAGUUAUCUGUUCUCCAAGCUGAGUGUGAGUGAAUGGAUCAAGGGGAGAACUUUUGGUUUUGAGUAGUGGAGGGGGACUAGAGGGACAAGAGUGAAUCUGGGAG